rnacentral:rRNA from 1 species
AGGGGGCUAGCGUUGCUCGGAAUCACUGGGCGUAAAGCGCACGUAGGCGGACUCUUAAGUCGGUGGUGAAAUCCUGGAGCUCAACUCCAGAACUGCCUUCGAUACUGGGAGUCUUGAGUCCGGGAGAGGUGAGUGGAACUGCGAGUGUAGAGGUGAAAUUCGUAGAUAUUCGCAAGAACACCAGUGGCGAAGGCGGCUCACUGGCCCGGUACUGACGCUGAGGUGCGAAAGCGUGGGGAGCAAACCGG